CCUACGGGAGGCAGCAGUGGGGAAUAUUGGACAAUGGGCGAAAGCCUGAUCCAGCAAUGCCGCGUGAGUGAUGAAGGCCUUAGGGUUGUAAAGCUCUUUUACCAGGGAUGAUAAUGACAGUACCUGGAGAAUAAGCUCCGGCUAACUCCGUGCCAGCAGCCGCGGUAAUACGGAGGGAGCUAGCGUUGUUCGGAAUUACUGGGCGUAAAGCGUACGUAGGCGGUUAUUCAAGUCAGAGGUGAAAGCCCGGGGCUCAACCCCGGAACUGCCUUUGAAACUAGAUAGCUAGAAUCUUGGAGAGGUUAGUGGAAUUCCGAGUGUAGAGGUGAAAUUCGUAGAUAUUCGGAAGAACACCAGUGGCGAAGGCGACUAACUGGACAAGUAUUGACGCUGAGGUACGAAAGCGUGGGGAGCAAACAGGAUUAGAUACCCUGGUAGUCCACGCCGUAAACGAUGAUAACUAGUUGUUCGGGCACUUGGUGCCUGAGUGACGCAGCUAACGCAUUAAGGUAUCCGCCUGGGGAGUACGGUCGCAAGNUUAAAACUCAAAUGAAUUGACGG
rnacentral:rRNA from 1 species